ACUUGACGAAUGUGACUUGAAACAAGAACUGAAUUAACUAUUACUUACAUGAAUCAACUCUAUUGGAGGCUAAGCGUUUUGAGCUUAGUAGGGUGGUGGUGGCGAUGCAUAAUUGUAAACUGGUGGUGGAGGUGACUUCACCGGUGGGGGAGGAGAGUGGUAGUAGUAUGGAGGUGGUGGGGAUGGUGAUGGAGGUGGUGGGGAUUUGUAGUAGUAUGGUGGUGGAGGCGAGUGGACUGGUGGGGGAGGAGAGUGGUAAUAGUACGGAGGUUGAGGAGAUGGUGACGGAGGUGGUGGGGACUUGUAAUAGUAUGGUGGUGGAGGUGAGUGGACAGGUGGGGGAGGAGAGUGGUAAUAAUAUGGCGGUGGAGGAGAUGGCGACGGAGGUGGUGGGGAUUUGUAGUAGUAGGGCGGGGGAGGAGAGUGGACUGGUGGUGGUGGGGAUUUGUAGUAGUAUGGAGGUGGAGGUGAGUAGACUGGUGGUGGUGGGGAUUUGUAGUAGUAUGGAGGUGGAGGUGAGUGGACUGGUGGUGGCGGGGAUUUGUAGUAGUAGGGUGGAGGAGGAGAGUGGACUGGAGGUGGCGGGGAUUUGUAGUAGUAUGGUGGUGGAGGCGAGUAGACUGGAGGGGAUGGUGACUUGUAGUAGUAAGGUGGCGGAGGUGAGUAAACGGGAGGAGUGGGUGAUUUAUAGUAGUAAGGUGGUGGAGGUGAGUAGACUGGUGGUGGAGGUGAUUUGUAAUAGUAUGGGGCAGGUAUGUGGACUGGCGGCGGUGGUGACUUGUAAUAGUAGGGAGGUGGAGGGGAUGGUGAAGGUGGUGGUGGAGACUUAUAGUAGUAUGGCGGUGGGGGUGAAUAGACUGGUGGUGGAGGUGAUUUAUAAUAGUAUGGAGGUGGAGGAGAUGGCGAUGGAGGUGGCGGAGAUUUAUAGUAGUAAGGUGGUGGAGGAGAGUGGACUGGUGGUGGAGGUGAUUUGUAAUAGUAUGGCGGUGGAGGAGAGUAGACUGGUGGUGGAGGUGAUUUAUAGUAGUAUGGCGGUGGUGGUGAGUGGACAGGUGGUGGAGGUGACUUGUAGUAAUACGGUGGAGGAGAAGAAUAGACCGGUGGUGGUGGAGAUUUAUAAUAGUAAGGUGGUGUCGGAUACUUUAUUGGAGGUGGAGGGGAUUUGUAAUAAUAGGGUGGUGGUGGUGAGGGUGAAGGAGGUGGUGGAGAUUUAUAGUAAUAUGGUGGUGGAGGUGAGUGGACUGGAGGUGGUGGAGAUUUGUAGUAGUAUGGUGGAGGUGAGUAGACAGGUGGGGGAGGAGACUUGUAAUAAUAUGGUGGUGGAGGUGAGUAGACCGGUGGUGGUGGGGAUUUAUAGUAGUAUGGUGGUGGUGAAUAAACCGGUGGUGGAGGAGACUUGUAGUAGUACGGUGGGGGAUGUGAAUAGACUGGUGGAGGUGGAGACUUAUAAUAGUAUGGGGGAGGAGAGUAAGUUGGUGGCGGUGGAGACUUAUAGUAAUAUGGUGAUGGAGAUGGUGGUGGCGGAGACUUAUAGUAAUAAGGCGACGGUGGGUAUUUUACAGGAGGUGGGGGAGAUUUAUAGUAAUAAGGUGGUGGGUAUUUCACAGGAGGUGGUGGAGACUUGUAAUAAUAUGGUGGAGGUGGAGGAGACUUAUAAAUGUAAGUUGGUGGUGGUGGAGGCGGUGACUUGUAGUAAUAAGGAGCGGGGGUAGGCUCAGGCUUGGGCUUCUCACAUUCCUCAUAAGGAGUCUUAGGAGCAUAAGCAAAUGGCUUGGCGUAGAGCACAACUUCAUAAUCAGUCUUCGACUUGACUUUAAGUUUGGCUCCCUUUUUACCCCAGUGCAAGUCAGUGGGAAUGUUGCAUGGUGAACCCUUUGGUGCCAUAUGGAGCUUGGCCUUGCAUGCUUUAGCU
rnacentral:lncRNA from 1 species